GAGGGUAUAGCUCAAGUGGUAGAGCGCGUGCUCAGCAUGCACGAAUUCCUGGGUUCAAUUCCCAGUACCUCCA
rnacentral:tRNA from 1 species